rnacentral:rRNA from 1 species
UACGUAGGGGGCGAGCGUUGUCCGGAAUCAUUGGGCGUAAAGAGCGUGUAGGCGGCUUGGCAAGUCUGACGUGAAAGCCCGCGGCUCAACCGCGGAUUGUCGUUGGAAACUGCCUCGCUAGAGUCCGGAAGAGGAGAGCGGAAUUCCUGGUGUAGCGGUGGAAUGCGCAGAUAUCAGGAAGAACACCCGUGGCGAAGGCGGCUCUCUGGGACGGUACUGACGCUGAGGAGCGAAAGCGUGGGGAGCGAACAGG